GUUGCUAGGGCAACCUUUCUGCUCAGCACUUCAUUGCCAAGGUGACCGAUUUGCUACUGGUCCAGGAAACUGGAGAGCAAAAUAGCAUUGUGCUUCAGCAGAAGAAAGAAGGCCCAGCUGAGAUGUUUCCAGGCUUGGGCUGAUACAGAUAAUGCUAUGAACACGUGUGUAACGCUAUGGACAAGUGUGUACGAGUCAUUUGUGUGGACAUAUGCUUCCAGUUAUUUUUGGCAAACAGGAGCCUAGGAUAACUAGAUCACGUGGAUGGUGACCUCACUGUUUGUGAAGAACUACCAAACUGUUUUCCGAAAUGGUUGUUCAGUCUAUGAUCCUGCCAGCCAGGUAGGCAUUGUGGCGUAUGUUUGCAACCUUAGCCUCCAGGAGACCAAGGUAAGAGAACCAAGAGUUUGGGGUCAGCCUGGGCUACACAGGGAGACCCUGUCUUCCAACUUGUUCUUCAGAAAAGGUAUUUCGGUAAUUGUAAAUCCUUUGCCUUUCCAUAGGGUCAGUUUGCUGAUGGGUGUGCAUGAGUGUGCAUGUGUGUGCAUGUGUGUGCAUGUGUGUGCAUGUGUGUGCAUGUGUAUGCAUAUGAUUGUGCAGAUGCAGGCACACAGAGCUCAGGGUGGGACAUUGAUUUCGGGUGUCUUCUACCCUUUCUAUAUUCUGUCUUGAACACAGGUUCUCGGUGAAUCAGAGACUUCGAAUCUCAGUUAUGUUGAUGGCAGCAAAGGCACAGGAUCUACACGUCUCUGUCCCAUAAUGCCAGAGCUGCAGGCACCUGCAGCCAUGCCUGGCUUUUUACAUUAGUGCUGGGAUUCAAACUUGGGUCCUCAUAGAACAUGGACUCUGACCUACUGACCCAUCAUCCAGUCUGUUAAUGCUCAUUAAAAUCCUGCUGGGAUUUUUGACUGGGAUUGUACUGGGUUGACAGAUCCACUGGAGAGAAUGUACAGCCUAAUGCUGCUAAGUGUUCUAGCACACUCAGAACACACCUCUCAGCUGGGCUUCUUCCUGGUCCAUGUGAAGGUCUUUCACAUAUUCUGAUACAGUUUUUAUUAUCAUUAUCAUCAUCAUCAUCAUUAUUAUUAUUACUUAUACAGUUAUUAUUUCUAUUAUCACUAUUAUUGUUAUUUUUUGCUGCUAUUUUCAGUGAGGUCUAUUUAAUUGUCUACUCUUUGCUAUUAGGAAGAAACAAAGUUGGGUUUUGUACAUUUCCUUUUAUGACUUAUACUCUGGCUAGAAGUAAAUGAUUGGGUAGAGUGAUCAGAUUUUCUACCUAGAUGACGAAGCUGAAUGAAGAUAACGAUAGACUUCCUCUCACCCUGUGCCCUCCGUUCCUUGUGCUUCUGAUGCACUAACUGGGACCUUGGGAAGAUGGGCCAGAGCAGCGGGGGUAACAUCCUUGCAGCUUGUCUGAUGUUGGAGGAUUUGAUUGUUACAAAAAUGUGUUAUUACUGAACCUGGUAAAAAAGUUUGUCAUGAUGUAUAAACCGAGAUGGUUAUUAACUACGAGUGUUUUACCGGCUUGUGUGUCUGUGUACAACAUGAGGCCAGAAGAGUGCGUGUGAUCCCCUGAAACUGGAGCUAGUUGGUUGUCAGUUGACACGAGAGUGCUGGGAACUGAACUUGGGUCCUCUGGAAGAGGAGCAAGCACCCUUAAUCACUGAGCCUUCCCCGUAGCCUUAACUUCUAUUUUGUCUGUAAUAAGCCGAGGUAUUUGUUGGCAGUUAACCUCGUGACCCAGUAGAUGGCCCCAUACACAUUCACACAGGGUCAGCACUGAUUGGACUCCGGAAGCUAUUUGUCAUCAGGGAGGUGGGUUGGUAGGGCCUGGAAGAGUUCAAAGGAAAUAAUAGAGGAUGUGUACAUGCGUGAAAUUGUCAAAGAAUAAAUAAAAAUAACAAUAGUGGAUGGGAGAGAGGGCUCAGCACUUAAGAGCACUGGCUGCUCUUCCAAAGGAACAAUCGUCUGUGAUCCGGUUCCAAGGGAUCCGGUGCCCUCUUCUGUCCUCCAAGAGUACCAGGCAUGCAUGUGGUCCACAGACACACAUGCAGGCAAAAUGUUCAUACACAUAAAAUAAACGAUAGAACAAAAAAACAUUAAAAAUAAGUGUACCGA